CUGUGAACCGCACAGGGCCCAGAUCCUCCCCUGGGAGGUGCCUUCACGUCCAGCCGCUGAGGGUACGGCUGCUUCUUGCCCUCCCGUCGCCUCUGAAUUCCCAGGAUCUUGCAGAGCAGGGACCUAAGUCUGUCCUCCUUGUCCAGUUUCUUACCUCUGUGGAUGAGCCUCGGCCCGCAGGCCCUACAAGGGGCUCAUAGCUCCCUCCUCCUCCCCCGGUGGAUCCGUCAGGCCUGGCGACAGCUCCUGGGUCCAGCAAGAUGUGGACAAGGAGAAGCUCCCAGGACUUAGCCUGAAGUCCUUUAAGUCGUGAAGGAACAUAGAGGACCCCCACCAAAGCCCCCCACUCCCGGUGUGGGUGAGGGGGCCACCAAGAGAGCCAGUCACAGGGAGGGGAUCUGCCCGAGUAACCCAGGGGUGAGCUCCUGCCGCAGACGCUGUGAAGAGUUGAGUCACCACUGGGUUAACACGUGAUGCUCGAUGGCUCCACAGAAGGACUCGGGACCGAGGGGAGAAACCCCCACCCAGCAAGACCAGGUCAAACCUCCCGGAGCCGCUGAGCCGCACAGAGCCCGGAACCCACCCCCGGCUCCCACUCCCCAGGCCUCUUGCGUUCUCUUCACGUUCACACUCACCGUUCACUCUGCUCAGGAGAGAAAUAAUUUAUAAAGUGGUACCGUUAAUGGUGAGAUGCUGACUGUCCCACAUAGCCUCGAGAGCAAAACGGAGCCACCUCGGGAAGUUUCAUCAGCUGGUGGGACUCUGCCUGGUUCUCAGCUUUCACGAAAUGCUAAAAUCACCCCAGCUCCUCAGAGCGUUAUUUGCAGUUCCAUAUGUUUUAUAUCCUAGCAAUCUAGCAAUUCAUCAAUCUGUUUACAUACUGAUGUUAUACUUAGAUGGAUAUUUAACUUUCCUCAGCCCUGUUGCCUUGCAAAGGAUUUAUAAACGGCUGCUUUGCAGUAAUAGGAUAGAUACUGCACUAAACGGAAAACAGUAAUCAUUUUGUUACAAGUCACGGCCUCCUGCUUUUUGUUUGCACACACGCCCACGGGCUGGCCAUGUCAGGACCCCUGCUGUGGCAGGCUGGUGCUGAGUGUGGAUGUGCUGAACAGCAGCUACAGUUCUGGAUAGAAACAGUCUCACGUAAAAAUGUACAUGAGGCAAACGCACAGCAGUCAACCCAUGCAUAAAAACUGUGCAUUUGCUUCUGACUCCUGUUUUCUACCUGUCUUCUUUUCCACGGUAUAUGUCAUAGUGGUAUUGAAAAUCUGUCCAGAGAGAUCAACAGGCGAUGAAAUAGCUUUUUUUACUGCUUCUCUAGCACCACAGAAUCUUAAAAGUUGGAAGACUUUCUAAAGAUCAUUGGUUCUGGCUUCCAACCCACAAACGGAUGGCCUCUUCCCCAACCUUGACCCGUGGUUGUGCAAGCCUCAGCAUGAACGCUCUGGUGAUGGGAACUCACGUCUGUGCAGACGUAAAUGUCAGGAGGAUCUUCCCACGUCAAGCCAGGUCUACAGUGAAACUCGCCUUCUCCUUUCAACCAGCCCUUGUUUCCUGUUCCCCACUCUCCUGGAACCACUGGCCCCCACUUGGAAACCAGGGCCCUCGCCAUCCCCCAUUCGGGUGGUCACAGCCCGGCGAGUCCAUCCUCCGACUGCCCUCCUGGUGCUGCCCCUGCUCUCCUCUCCUGGCUCAUUGCCAGUCAGCAACCCAGAGCCUCGGCCUCACGGUUCACCCCCGGUCUAAUCCUAGGACCUCACUGUGUGAUGACAUCCUGUCCCGAGAGCAGAGGACAAAGCCACCCACCCCGCCAGGCUCUGGUGAGACUCCCCACUGUGCACCCCGACGGUCCCACUGUGUGCUCCAGCAGUCAGCUCCCUGAACACACAGCAGCAGGGCCCCCUCGGACCACCCGCUCUGAUUCCCCUGGUUUUCUGAGGCUCCAACCCAGGACCCCAUCCUUCCUGACUUCUCUGGCUGAGCUGACCCCGGCCCGGGGCCUGCAUGGAACUGUGUGUCCACACUGAUCACAGUAACCGCUGCUGUCAGUGGCAUUUGUUUAAAUAUUUACCUGCCCACGGGAAUGUGAGCCUGUGAGCUCACCCACAUUUGGAGCCCUGGGGGAUGGCCCAGCGUCUGCCAGGAAGUAGGAGCUGCGUCAGCACCUGUCGGAGACUCAGAAAAAUAGAGUGAUUUGAAUCCUUGCUCUAUGAAUGUCUUCAUGGAAAUAAUGACAGGCUCCUGCCGUGACCAGCCCUGUCGAACCGACAGGUUAACCUGAUGAUGACAGAUGGAGAAAAUCUCCCUCCUCUUCCAGGGCCCCCAGACUCGCAGUCCGGAGUGUCCAUCUGUUACUCGCCUUAAACACACCUAAAGCCAGAUGGAUGCUGAAGAUGCACGUACACGCACACAGAAACUUUACACGAUGCUUAUAGCUCUUGAUGAUUAUACGACCUCCAAAACCAGACACAACUUGAAUGUCCCACAGCUGGUGACGGAACACACCAGCCGUGGUACAGCUGCACAGCGGCUCUGCUCGGCAGUGAAAGGACGAAUCGCCAGUGCAGCAAUCCACCAACCCGAGAGCCUGCAGGCUGCACGGUGCAUUUGUGUGACGCUCGGGAAACGGGUCCCUGGGGCGGGGGGCUGCGGCCACGCACAGCAUUGGGGAGGUGAAGGAACGGUUCUAUGUGAUGGCUGUGGUGGCGGCGACACAAAACUGUGUUUGCCAAAACUCAUGGAAC